rnacentral:rRNA from 1 species
AUGAACGCUGGCGGCGUGCCUAAUACAUGCAAGUCGAGCGAACGGACGAGAAGCUUGCUUCUCUGAUGUUAGCGGCGGACGGGUGAGUAACACGUGGAUAACCUACCUAUAAGACUGGGAUAACUUCGGGAAACCGGAGCUAAUACCGGAUAAUAUUUUGAACCGCAUGGUUCAAAAGUGAAAGACGGUCUUGCUGUCACUUAUAGAUGGAUCCGCGCUGCAUUAGCUAGUUGGUAAGGUAACGGCUUACCAAGGCAACGAUGCAUAGCCGACCUGAGAGGGUGAUCGGCCACACUGGAACUGAGACACGGUCCAGACUCCUACGGGAGGCAGCAGUAGGGUAUCUUCCGCAAUGGGCGAAAGCCUGACGGAGCAACGCCGCGUGAGUGAUGAAGGUCUUCGGAUCGUAAAACUCUGUUAUUAGGGAAGAACAUAUGUGUAAGUAACUGUGCACAUCUUGACGGUACCUAAUCAGAAAGCCACGGCUAACUACGUG